AGAGUUUGAUCAUGGCUCAGGAUGAACGCUAGCGGCAGGCCUAACACAUGCAAGUCGAGGGGUAACAUAGGAAAGCUUGCUUUUCUGAUGACGACCGGCGCACGGGUGCGUAACGCGUAUACAACCUACCUUUUAGCGGGGAAUAGCCCAGGGAAACUUGGAUUAAUGCCCCAUAGUAUGGAGAUCUCUCCUGAGAUUUUCAUUAAACAUUUAUGGCUAUUAGAUGGGUAUGCGUCCUAUUAGUUAGUUGGUAAGGUAACGGCUUACCAAGGCAGCGAUAGGUAGGGGUCCUGAGAGGGAGAUCCCCCACACUGGUACUGAGACACGGACCAGACUCCUACGGGAGGCAGCAGUGAGGAAUAUUGGACAAUGGGCGAGAGCCUGAUCCAGCCAUGCCGCGUGCAGGAAGACUGCCCUAUGGGUUGUAAACUGCUUUUACAGAGGAAGAACCACUCCCACGUGUGGGAGUUUGACGGUACUCUGCGAAUAAGGAUCGGCUAACUCCGUGCCAGCAGCCGCGGUAAUACGGAGGAUCCAAGCGUUAUCCGGAAUCAUUGGGUUUAAAGGGUCCGUAGGCGGGCAGUUAAGUCAGUGGUGAAAGUCUUCCGCUCAACGGGAGAACUGCCAUUGAUACUGAUUGUCUUGAGUUAUUAUGAAGUGGUUAGAAUGAGUAGUGUAGCGGUGAAAUGCAUAGAUAUUACUCAGAAUACCGAUUGCGAAGGCAGAUCACUAAUAAUAUACUGACGCUGAUGGACGAAAGCGUAGGUAGCGAACAGGAUUAGAUACCCUGGUAGUCUACGCCGUAAACGAUGGUUACUAGCUGUUCGGCCCGAUUAAGGGCUGAGUGGUUAAGCGAAAGUGAUAAGUAACCCACCUGGGGAGUACGUUCGCAAGAAUGAAACUCAAAGGAAUUGACGGGGGCCCGCACAAGCGGUGGAGCAUGUGGUUUAAUUUCGAUGAUACGCGAGGAACCUUACCAGGGCUUAAAUGUAGUCUGACAGGGCUGGAAACAGCUUUUUUCUUCGGACAGAUUACAAAGGUGGCUGCAUGGU
rnacentral:rRNA from 1 species